AAUGUGGGUAAAUGGGUGGAAAAUGUUAAAUCGGCACAAAAUGUGGGUAAAUGGGUGGAAAAUGGGGGUAAAUGGGUGGAAAAUGGGGGUGAAUGGGUGGAAAAUGUUAUUAAAUUGGCACAAAAUGUGGGUAAAUUGGUGGAAAAUGUGGUUAGCUCUGAUCACAGGGUGGUUAAAUGGGUGCAAAGUGUGGUUAAAUUGGUGGAAAAUGGGUAAAUGGGUGGAAAAUGGGGGUAAAUGGGUGGAAAAUGGGGGUAAAUGGGUGGAAAAUGGGGGUAAAUGGGUGGAAAAUGGGGGUAAAUCUCAUCAAAAUGUGGUUAAACCAUCACAAAAUGUGGGUAAAUGGGUGGAAAAUGGGGGUAAAUUGGUGAAAAGUGUGGUUAAAUCGCCACAAAAUGUGGGUAAAUGGGUGGAAAAUGUGGUUAAAUCUGAUCAAAGUGUGGUUAAAUCGGCACAAAAUGUGGGUAAAUGGGUGCAAAAUGGGGGUAAAUCG
rnacentral:lncRNA from 1 species